CCUACGGGAGGCAGCAGUGAGGAAUAUUGGUCAAUGGGCGCGAGCCUGAACCAGCCAAGUCGCGUGAGGGAUGAAGGUUCUAUGGAUCGUAAACCUCUUUUAUAAGGGAAUAACGUGUGGGAUGUGUCCUAAUUUGCAUGUACCUUAUGAAUAAGGAUCGGCUAACUCCGUGCCAGCAGCCGCGGUAAUACGGAGGAUCCGAGCGUUAUCCGGAUUUAUUGGGUUUACAGGGUGCGUAGGCGGCCUUUUAAGUCAGCGGUGAAAGGCUGUGGCUCAACCAUAGAAUGGCCGUUGAAACUGGGGGGCUUGAGUAUGUUUGAGGCAGACGGAAUGCGUGGUGUAGCGGUGAAAUGCUUAGAUAUCACGCAGAACCCCGAUUGCGAAGGCAGCCUGCCAAGCCAUGACUGACGCUGAUGCACGAAAGCGUGGGGAUCAAACAGGAUUAGAUACCCCAGUAGUC
rnacentral:rRNA from 1 species